rnacentral:rRNA from 1 species
AUUGAACGCUGGCGGCAUGCCUUACACAUGCAAGUCGAACGGCAGCGCGGGGCAACCUGGCGGCGAGUGGCGAACGGGUGAGUAAUAUAUCGGAACGUGCCCUGGAGUGGGGAUAACGUAGCGAAAGUUACGCUAAUACCGCAUACGAUCCAAGGAUGAAAGCAGGGGACCUUCGGGCCUUGUGCUCCUGGAGCGGCCGAUAUCUGAUUAGCUAGUUGGUGGGGUAAAAAGCCUACCAAGGCGAUGAUCAGUAGCUGGUCUGAGAGGACGACCAGCCACACUGGAACUGAGACACGGUCCAGACUCCUACGGGAGGCAGCAGUGGGGAAUUCUGGACAAUGGGGGCAACCCUGAUCCAGCAAUGCCGCGUGUGUGAAGAAGGCCU